rnacentral:snoRNA from 1 species
UGGGCCAGUGAUGACAACUGGUGACAAGAGUCCAGGAGGAUGAAAAUACACGUGUGAAACUCUGAGAUCCAA